rnacentral:rRNA from 1 species
CGUGGGUAACCUGCCCAAGAGAUCGGGAUAACACCUGGAAACAGAUGCUAAUACCGGAUAACAACAGAUGAUGCCUAUCAACUGUUUAAAAGAUGGUUCUGCUAUCACUCUUGGAUGGACCUGCGGUGCAUUAGCUAGUUGGUAGGGUAACGGCCUACCAAGGCGAUGAUGCAUAGCCGAGUUGAGAGACUGAUCGGCCACAUUGGGACUGGGACACGGCCCAAACUCCUACGGGAGGCAGCAGGC